UGGGGAAUAUUGGACAAUGGGCGAAAGCCUGAUCCAGCCAUGCCGCGUGUGUGAAGAAGGUCUUCGGAUUGUAAAGCACUUUAAGUUGGGAGGAAGGGUUGUAGAUUAAUACUCUGCAAUUUUGACGUUACCGACAGAAUAAGCACCGGCUAACUCUGUGCCAGCAGCCGCGGUAAUACAGAGGGUGCAAGCGUUAAUCGGAAUUACUGGGCGUAAAGCGCGCGUAGGUGGUUUGUUAAGUUGGAUGUGAAAUCCCCGGGCUCAACCUGGGAACUGCAUUCAAAACUGACUGACUAGAGUAUGGUAGAGGGUGGUGGAAUUUCCUGUGUAGCGGUGAAAUGCGUAGAUAUAGGAAGGAACACCAGUGGCGAAGGCGACCACCUGGACUAAUACUGACACUGAGGUGCGAAAGCGUGGGGAGCAAACAGG
rnacentral:rRNA from 4 species